AUUUAAGGUGAAACCACCUUAAGAAUAUCUGAUCUUGUCUAUUUUCUGAAGCUCAGCAGGGUGGACCUGAUUGGUACUUGGAUGGUAGACCAACUAAGUGUGAAAAAUCAGGAUGAGUGAAUC
rnacentral:rRNA from 1 species